AUAUCAUAAUCGAGGUAUUGAGGAGGUGAAUAUUGGAUGACUUUUAUCUCAGAAUGCUCGGUGUCGAACAAAUCCUCGGCUAUAUCACGGAUUGUUUCUAUAUCUUCUGCAACUCUAAUAAAUACCUCAGCCUUUGCUUCAGCUGCAAGAAUAUUCGCGGCAGCGCCACCUUCUAUAGUACCAAUGUUAAUAGUGCUAGGCCCCAGCAACUUAGACUUUGGUAAGUCAGUGUCCAUUAACUUUACACAUUGUCGAAGUAAAAACUCAAUGGCACUAAAUCCUUCUUGGGGAUAUCCAGAAUGACAAGCUUUGCCGUGAGCAUAAACGUCAAACCUAAAGUUACCCUUGUGUCCUACACCCAACUUGUUUUCAGUGGGCUCUCCAAAUAUAGCUACCUCCCAAUCAGCAUUAAGUUUAUUAGCAACGGUUUUCAUCCCGAUACCAUCAAUUUCUUCGCCUACGACAAACAGCAGCGAAAGAUCACCUUCUUGAACUUUUCCUUCUGACAUUAGUUCCAACAUUGCAAAGAUUUGUGCAGCAACUGAACUUUUUGCGUCACAGGAACCUCUACCAUGAAUUUUAUCGCCUUCAAUGUAGUAGGGUAAGAAAGGGUUGACAGUGUCGAUAUGGCUUGUCAGUACAACCUUGGUGUUUCUCUGACUACCUAGAUAUGCAUAGACGUUGUCUCGCACAGUCGGGUUAGAGGAGACACGCUGCAAUUCGACGGUUAAACCCUUGGACUCCAAGUAGGAUUUUAAGAAAUCUGACACAUUUACUUCAUUCCCACCAAGAGAUUCUAUUUCAACCAAAGAUUUAUGAAGAGAAAUCAAGUUGUCGCCAGCUGGCAAUAAUGAUUGAUGUGAAAUAAGCUGUACAGAGUCUUGUUCAAGUAUGGAGUGUUGCCCCCAAGACAAAUAACCAAAAUUUAGGGGACCCGCCAGUACGGGUGACAUCCAAAGGUGGUAGCCGAUAACUAUUAAAAGGCUCCAAACAGAAAUUUUCAUUGUCAUACAAUAAACGUUAUUUUUGAAUUUAUGUACAAUAGGCAGACGGUUAUUGAACUCGAGCAGUAAUGGGAGUGUUCAUGAUUUUAUGGUGUAGUAGUAGCCUAUCUAUUAUCUAACUUCCAAAUUUUAAGCGACAACCCUUGGUAGGCGGUAACAAUUUGAUUAGGAUAACUAAUAUAAAGAAGGAUUGUUUUAUGGUUGUAUUAAAAUAUAAACGCUGAAAUUAGUACUAAGUGCAGAUACCAGUGCUUAAGACGCUGAUUUAGUAUUUGUGUUUGCCUGAUUUAUACAUGAUUUCGUUAAUCAGCGUUAAGUCAGCGUCAUACUGGAAGUCAGCUCAAUG